rnacentral:rRNA from 1 species
AGAGUUUGAUCCUGGCUCAGGAUGAACGCUAGCGGCAGGCCUAACACAUGCAAGUCGAACGGUAACAGGAAUUAGCUUGCUUUUCCGCUGACGAGUGGCGCACGGGUGCGUAACGCGUAUACAAUCUACCUCUUACAGGGGGAUAGCCUUUAGAAAUGAAGAUUAAUACCCCAUGGCAUUAUAAACCGGCAUCGGUUUAUAAUUAAAGUUUCGGCGGUAGGAGAUGAGUAUGCGUUCUAUUAGCUAGUAGGUGUGGUAACGGCACACCUAGGCAACGAUAGAUAGGGGCCCUGAGAGGGGGAUCCCCCACACUGGUACUGAGACACGGACCAGACUCCUACGGGAGGCAGCAGUGAGGAAUAUUGGACAAUGGACGAAAGUCUGAUCCAGCCAUGCCGCGUGCAGGAUGACAGCCCUACGGGUUGUAAACUGCUUUUAUACAGGAAGAAACACUCCGACGUGUCGGAGCUUGACGGUACUGUAAGAAUAAGGAUCGGCUAACUCCGUGCCAGCAGCCGCGGUAAUACGGAGGAUCCAAGCGUUAUCCGGAAUUAUUGGGUUUAAAGGGUCCGCAGGCGGUCUAUUAAGUCAGAGGUGAAAUCUUGCAGCUCAACUGUAAAAUUGCCUUUGAUACUGGUAGACUUGAGUCAUUGUGAAGUGGUUAGAAUGUGUGGUGUAGCGGUGAAAUGCAUAGAUAUCACACAGAAUACCGAUUGCGAAGGCAGAUUACUAACAAUAUACUGACGCUGAGGGACGAAAGCGUGGGUAGCGAACAGGAUUAGAUACCCUGGUAGUCCACGCCGUAAACGAUGGAUACUAGCUGUUCGUCUAACAUUGGUUAGAUGAGUGGCUAAGCGAAAGUGAUAAGUAUCCCACCUGGGGAGUACG